rnacentral:rRNA from 1 species
UACAGAGGUCCCAAGCGUUGUUCGGAUUCAUUGGGCGUAAAGGGUGCGUAGGUGGCGCCGUAAGUGGGGUGUGAAAUCCCGAGGCUUAACCUCGGGACUGCAUUCCAUACUGCGGUGCUUGAGGACUGGAGAGGAGACUGGAAUUUACGGUGUAGCAGUGAAAUGCGUAGAGAUCGUAAGGAAGACCAGUGGCGAAGGCGGGUCUCUGGACAGUUCCUGACACUGAGGCACGAAGGCCAGGGGAGCAAACGGG